rnacentral:rRNA from 1 species
UACGAAGGGGGCUAGCGUUGUUCGGAUUUACUGGGCGUAAAGCGCACGUAGGCGGGGCGUUAAGUCAGGGGUGAAAUCCCGGAGCUCAACUCCGGAACUGCCUUUGAUACUGGCGACCUUGAGGCUGGAAGAGGUUAGUGGAAUUCCCAGUGUAGAGGUGAAAUUCGUAGAUAUUGGGAAGAACACCAGUGGCGAAGGCGGCUAACUGGUCCAGAUCUGACGCUGAGGUGCGAAAGCGUGGGGAGCAAACAGG